GUAUUUGCAAUCUUUGUGAUGGAGACAUGAAGUUUGUUCGAUGCCAUGAUCAAAACAGGCUGUAUUAUAUAUAGCUCAAGGAAACGUUUCUGAUGGGUGCUGCCUGAUUAAUUUCGAAAACAAAACAGAGAUAUGAGUAGGAGAGACAAAAAAACGUUGGUUUGCUGGACUUUUGGUGCAAGAAGGUGAAGAAACGUGCCAGCGAACUGCCAAUGUUUUAAUUAAGGGAUGAAAGAAAAACCCGAACGUUUUUUUAUUCCAUUGACCGCAAAAUAUAACUCUCGAAGACGUCAAUGUAAAGAUCUUUGACACAUACUUGCUUCUUUCACGUCACCU